GGUUGUCGUCAGCUCGUGUCGUGAGAUGUUGGGUUAAGUCCCGCAACGAGCGCAACCCUCGACCUUAGUUGCCAGCAUUCAGUUGGGCACUCUAAGGUGACUGCCGGCUAAAAGUCGGAGGAAGGUGGGGAUGACGUCAAAUCAUCAUGCCCCUUAUGACCUGGGCUACACACGUGCUACAAUGGGCGGUACAAAGGGUCGCGAACCCGCGAGGGGGAGCCAAUCCCAAAAAAGCCGCUCUCAGUUCGGAUUGCAGGCUGCAACUCGCCUGCAUGAAGCCGGAAUCGCUAGUAAUCGCGGAUCAGCAUGCCGCGGUGAAUACGUUCCCGGGCCUU
rnacentral:rRNA from 1 species